AGAAUCAACGCUGGCGGCGUGCCUAACACAUGCAAGUCGAACGCGAAAGUCCCGCAAGGGAUAAGUAGAGUGGCAAACGGGUGAGUAACACGUGGGUGACCUGCCUUCGAGUGGGGGAUAACGUCCCGAAAGGGUCGCUAAUACCGCAUGACAUCCUGCUUUUUAAGAGGCGGAGAUCAAAGCUGGGAUCGCAAGACCUGGCGCUUGAAGAGGGGCCCGCGCCUGAUUAGCUAGUUGGUGGGGUAAUGGCUCACCAAGGCAUCGAUCAGUA
rnacentral:rRNA from 1 species